GCUGGAAUGCUUUGUGAUUUAAAGAUCCGUCGCCUAAGGAUGGGUCUGCGGCCUAUCAGGUUGUAGUGGGUCUAGAGUACCUACUAGCCAACGACGGGUACGGGUUGUGAGAGCAAGAGCCCGGAGAUGGAUUCUGAGACAUUAAUCCAGGCCCUACGGGGCGCAGCAGGCGCGAAACCUUUACACUGCGGGAAACCGCGAUAAGGGGACACCGAGUGCCAGCAUACAAUGCUGGCUGUCCACAUGUGUAAAUAGCAUGUGAUAGCAAGGGCCGGGCAAGACCGGUGCCAGCCGCCGCGGUAA
rnacentral:rRNA from 1 species